CGCUGGCGCAGUCUGGGUCAGCCACCGGCACCCCUGGAGUAUGUCUACAAUGGAGAGAGUCUGGAUGCACCGUCUGCGCUGGGACUAAGGGGAGUAGGAGAAGGAGCAGAGGCUGAGGAGACUGCUAUCUGGAGAGGAGGCUGUAAAGCUGUGGGUAUGGAGCUGGAGGAGUUUAAUGUGAAGACUCUCUAUGACAAGCU